CAGAGUGUGGCUAAAGAGCAAAGCACCUCCCUUACACCGAGAAGAUGUCCGUGCAACUCGGACCACCCUGA
rnacentral:tRNA from 1 species